rnacentral:rRNA from 1 species
UUAAAGGAAUUGGACGGGGCCCGCACAAGCGGUGGAGUAUGUGGUUUAAUUCGAUGCAACGCGAAGAACCUUACCUGGUCUUGACAUCCCGGAGACCCUUAGGAAACUAGGGGGUGCUUCCAUCUGGAAGAAUCUGGAGACAGGUGCUGCAUGGCUGUCGUCAGCUCGUGUCGUGAGAUGUUGGGUUAAGUCCCGCAACGAGCGCAACCCUUGCCUUUAGUUGCCAGCAGUUCGGCUGGGCACUCUAAAGGGACUGCCGGUGUUAAACCGGAGGAAGGUGGGGAUGACGUCAAGUCCUCAUGGCCUUUAUGACCAGGGCUACACACGUACUACAAUGGCCGAUACAAAGGGCAGCGACACUGCGAGGUGAAGCCAAUCCCGUAAAAUCGGUCUCAGUCCGGAUUGGAGUCUGCAACUCGACUCCAUGAAGUUGGAAUCGCUAGUAAUCGCGCAUCAGCCAUGGCGCGGUGAAUACGUUCCCGGGCCUU